rnacentral:rRNA from 1 species
GACGAACGCUGGCGGCAUGCCUAACACAUGCAAGUCGAGCGAGUAGAUCCCUUCGGGGUGAAGCUAGCGGCGGACGGGUGAGUAACACAUGGGCAACCUGCCUCAUAGAGGGGAAUAGCCUUCCGAAAGGAAGAUUAAUACCGCAUAAGAUUGUAGUACCGCAUGGUAUAGCAAUUAAAGGAGUAAUCCGCUAUGAGAUGGGCCCGCGGCGCAUUAGCUCGUUGGUGAGGUAACGGCUCACCAAGGCGACGAUGCGUAGCCGACCUGAGAGGGUGAUCGGCCACAUUGGGACUGGGACACGGCCCAGACUCCUACGGGAGGCAGCAGUGGGGAAUAUUGCACAAUGGGGGAAACCCUGAUGCAGCAAUGCCGCGUGAGUGAUGACGGCCUUCGGGUUGUAAAGCUCUGUCUUCGGGGACGAUAAUGACGGUACCCGAGGAGGAAGCCGCGGCUAACUACGUGCCAGCAGCCGCCGCCG